rnacentral:rRNA from 1 species
GACGAACGCUGGCGGCGUGCUUAACACAUGCAAGUCGAACGCUGAAGACCUGGCUUUUGUUGGGUUGGAUGAGUGGCGAACGGGUGAGUAACACGUGAGUAACCUGCCCUCUUCUUUGGGAUAACGCCCGGAAACGGGUGCUAAUACUGGAUAUUCACUGAUCUUCGCAUGGGGGUUGGUGGAAAGGUUUGUUCUGUUGGGGGAUGGGCUCGCGGCCUAUCAGCUUGGUGGUGGGGUGAUGGCCUACCAAGGCUUUGACGGGUAGCCGGCCUGAGAGGGUGACCGGUCACAUUGGGAAUGAGAUACGGCCCAGACUCAUACGGGAGGCAGCAGUGGGGAAUAUUGCACAAUGGGCGAAAGCAUGAUGCAGCGACGCCGCGUGAGGGAUGGAGGCCUUCGGGUUGUAAACCUCUUUCGCUAAUGGUCAAGCCGCAACUGUGGGUUGUGGUGAGGGUAGUGGGUAAAGAAGCGCCGGCUAACUACGUG